GAGAGACAUCAGCUGACUGAGCUGAGGCUCAGCUACAUCUUCUUGGAGGGAGAGAUAGAUGUGACAAUAUGGAGGGGAGGAAAGAGCUGCAGGCGGAACAAGAUGAAGGGGAGGACAAAAGGCAAGGAACCACCAGUCUUCAAGUAACUGAUAUAUUGACCAUACUUCUGAACAAUAUUCACAAUGGAUUUGUUUUAUUUGGACAUUUCACCUGCAAUUUUUAGAAGGUCUAUGGAAAGCCGACAUCAAAUACUAUACUAUUAAAAUAAAUUAUUUCUAAUUUUUACAAAUAUUUUUCAAGAUAUACCAUAUUUUGAACUAAAAGGCCCUAAUGCAUUUGAGCCUGACCCUGUAAACACUUAUUCAUGGUAAUGAGACCUAUUCAAUAUAGAAAGGUUUGCUAACUCUUUGUACAACUCUAGAUUCCUCACAUAUGGCUUAAUCCUAUCAGACAUUGCACAAACUGAUACAGCAAGGUAUUUUAUGUGCUUUCUUGACCUUAUGCAUGUUGCUAAUUACAUCGGCUACUGUAAUGGGGUGUCAUCCCCAGCGGCACUUGGAAAUGCCUUGGGGCACUCCUGAGUCUCCUUAUGUUUGCCUUUUUUCACUGGGACUCCCUGUAACAGGGGACCCUAUCCCUGUCACUAGAAAGCAGGGCAGCCCCUUUAAGACUAGAACCUUCAGGGCACAGCCUGCAGGCAGAGCAAGGGUUAAAAUCCAAGCCUUGCAGGCCAGUUAGCUGACUGGGGGCUGUCAGGUGACUGGGAGAGGGCUCAGGCCAGAUCUACGUAAAACCUGGUCUGAGGUAACCAGGAAGCCCAGGUUGCAGAAAGAGUGUAUUCCUGAGUACUCCAAGCAAAGCUGCAGCAGCCCUACGAGAGAGAGAGAGAACGAGCGCGCAGCAGGCACUGGGAGUCACAGAUGUGGAGCCCAUGAAAAAAAGACCAUGCACACAAGGAAGAAGCACCCCAGGAGGUGCCCUUGACUGCUGAGUGGCAAAUGGUCACAUCCAGAACCAGGGCUGCUCGCAACAAAGCAGUACCAGUUCCUCCAGUCUGGCUGGAUAACAGGCCGAAGGAGCCAAGCAGACCCGGAGGAGGAAACGUAGAGUGAUCAUCAUAGGCGACUCCAUCCUGAGAGGUUGGUGGAUCUCCUCUGGUAGGCUUUAAACUAGGCUCAUCAGAGGACGGGGAAGAUGAGGGUGGAGGAAGCCUUGGACCAAUUAACCAAGAGACACCCACAAGAACAGCCCAGUCCGGACCAACGAUGAGCAGAAUGAAUACCCAGGAACAAUUAGAUAAAACCAAGAAAAACUGGCAAAACAUUUCGAUGUUGCAGAAACAUUUCCAACUGAAAAAGUUGUCUCAUGCUCUUUUGUCAAGUCCCUUUGGAUUUGGAAUGUCAUAGAUGCUUUGAAUAUCGUAGGUACUUUCUUUCCUGUGGAAGUAUGUGUAGGAAUAUAAAUAAAUAUAUAUGAAAAAGAGCGUCAUAACGUGCAAAAUA